CCUCUGCUUCAGUUGGCGACGGAAGCACGGGAUUCUUCAUAGCUGCUCCUGCAUGUUAAAAGGUUCUUUUAGAGUGACUCCCAGAUUAGUGGAGACACAGCCUGAGUUGAAUAUUAAUAAUUUUAUAUCAAGUCUACUUCGAAAACUGGGCUGGUCAGAUUCAAGGAAUCGACUCUUUUGGAGUCGACUCCUCAUCAGUACUGCGCAUGUGCUUACAAAUCAUCACAUCGACGCGCACGUGGAAGUGAUCGCCGCGGGAAAACUGAGUUUGUCUAGUUCCUCCAUGGUUGUGAGAGGAAAGACCUCAUCUUCGCUGUCCACCACUGGAGCACUGGAACGGUUGUUUGCUGCAAGGGACUGGACCACUGAAGUCAGAUGAUUGAUCUUCAUGUCCAGUUCAUUAAGUGCCUCCAGAAUUGUCCUCUCAACAGCUGCAACACAUUAGAUGGGUGUUCAUCCCAAGCAUCUUCUUGCUCAUUUUCAUUGGACAAGCUCACUGGAACAGCUGGAGUUAAGAAAGGUGAAGUUGAUGGGUGUUCUUCCCAAGUUUCCAGCUGGCGGUCUGAAUGAGAGAAGCUCAUUAACAUUACAAAAGGUGAGUGUCCACCCCAAUGAUCUUGUGGCUCAUCUGCCUGGGAGAAGCUCACGGGAACAUCUGGAGCUGACAAUGAUGGAACUGUACUCAUGUAGAGCCUGUUACCUUGACAGCUGGGGAAAGUCUCAAAACGGGCCUGCUCUGGCUUCUCCAUGGCCCUUUGGUGGUGAUUAACAAAUGCUGUUGAAAGAAUUGAGGUGCUGGAGGUUUUGGUGCAGGCGGGACUUUUGGUGCGGGCUGGAUUUUUGGUAAUGUUCAGAUUCUGAGAUGUCAGAAGUGUAGCAUGCCCUUUUCCAUUUUUUGGAAAUGUUGUCAAAUGAUGCUGAAAUGAUCAAAAAUUCUGGCCUGAUGCUUGGUCCAACCCUUAUCUGGCUGUGGUGCCUCCAUCAACCUGACGCUCUUUAGUAACCGGUCCAAGUCUUUGUAUGGAGGCCACCAUGAGUGGCCAUCUGAGUACCAGGACUUUGCUACAGGACCGGUACUCCCUUCUCCGACAAACUCCACUAUCAGAAAUGUGUUGGUCCUGAGAUGCCAUGAACUAGAUGAAUACCAAGUUCUGAGGAUGGAAGGGGAUAAUCAAAAAAAGGUUCAUGAUUGUUGAAGGUACAUUUUUUUUGGCACCAACCAACCUUUCUGUCAGCACAGUGGCUUGAAAUCCUGACAGCCUGCAAGUUAGAGGACCCAGUCGAAGCCACAAGUGGAGAAGCCGCCUCAUGACACCAAGGCACACAAGGUGCAUGUAAUCAAGGGGGAAUCCAGAGACCAUAUCCAAGGAUGUUUCUUCUAGUGGGAAUGUCAUCCUGUUCUCCAGGUGCACACCAUCCUGAAUGCACUUUUCGCAUCCAUGGUAGCCUGCAUGGCCCUUCACUUUUUUCAGAAAAGCACGUGCAGGUGCGUCGCAAAUCAUUGAGGUCCAGAAACGUAGUAAGGACAUCAAUAAAACAGACCAUGUGAGAUCAGAUCAGUGGCUCAACUUCAGUUUUAUGAAGACUUCUAUCCUGAUGUUUGGCUGUAGUCCUUCCAUCAUCCAGUCUUCUGCAGCCGGUCUAUUUAUGGAGACCACCAUGAUCUAAUCUAUACAGAUCUAGUUGUCUCUUCUCCCACAAACUCCUCUUUCAGAUUUUGAGCGGAUCUCCUUCAUUCUGCAGCCAUCUCACCAGAACCUCUGGGUGCACCAGCUGUGGAUAUUACAGGCCAAACUUUGGACACCCUAGGACAACAUCCUUAGCACAGAUCUACCUAUAGCCCUCCAUCAUUCCCACAUCCAUCUUGCAACAGUUUCAUUAACUGCAGUCCAUAACCAGUUCACAGUCUACACCUUGUCCAUUGCAAAUGUUAUGGAUUAUUCUAAUAGAGAUCUUUCUAUUAUUUUUUUUUGAGACAGUUAUUAUGUACUCUGUUAUGUUGUGAAUAAAGUCAGCCCCCCCCCCCCCCACCUCGAUGCUUUCAGCAGUUAAUAGAUUAAAGUGUGUCCUUAAUGUUUUAUUAUUUAAAGAUUGUUUUAAAGUUUAUUACAGGCUCAGUUUAUUUUUUUUUUAGUAUUAACUGUCAUAAUCAAAUAUGAGACUUUUGUCAGUAUCAUUAAUUCUAUGAGGCAAUAUGAAUCAAAUUAACAUUUGUAUAGGGUUUUCAUCUGAAGGCUUCUUCCUCAUUCAGUUAAACAUCAAGGGUUUUCUAUGCCUUUGUCACCUUUUACUUUCUCAUUGGAAAUUAUGAGCAUCAGUAUUUUUUCUCAUUGGAAAUUAUGAGCAGCAGUAUUUGGAAGAAAAUAAGAAUAUGAAAAUGGCUUUGAUUUCAAUGUAUUUAAUGGAAUCAAAGAACCACACAAACCUUUGACCUUCACACAGACAUUGUAUUAAUUAAAGUGUUACUCAAAUUA